rnacentral:lncRNA from 10 species
GCGAGGGUAGGGAAGCUGGCAAGAGCAGGCCUGUCUCGCCAUUCCUGCCAAGCACAGCCAAGGAUCAUUUCCAGAGAUCACUUUAUCUCUGAAAGAUUUGUCAUUGGCUGACUUUCAUCUUUGAUUAUUGAUGUGAUGAGGAAGAUGUCUACAACUGUUAUUCCUUUUAAAAUGUCAUGUCAGAGAUCUUCCUUACAGAACAAGUCCAGGUACAGUCUGUAGACAUAUCCCUCCAGAAAGUGCACUUCAUCUGUCUCUCUCAGCUGAGUGUAGGUAACACUUAGGGACUGCCUUGCAAACAGCAGUGCUUGGAAAAGAGAACUUCAUGACCUGUGGUGGAGAAGCCUGGAAGCCCUACCUGAGGCCAGUAGCCAAGGCUGCCCUGAACAGGAUGCCACAUACCCACCAUGCAACCUCUGAACGACGUGAUGGGAAGGCCCCUCACCGUGGUGAUCUUCUUCUCUAAAUCCCAUAACUUUAGUUUCAUGAUAAGAAAACAUCAGACAGACCCAAACUGGAGGACACACUACAAAAUACUAUACCAGUUACUCUUCAAUAGUCUCAAGACUAUGAAAAACAAAGGAAGAUUGUGACACUAUCAUAAAUUAGAGGAUGCUAAGGAGACACAAUGAACAAGGCACUGUGUGAUUCUAGAUUGGAUCCUGGAACAGAAAAGAAU